GAUGAACGCUAGCUACAGGCUUAACACAUGCAAGUCGAGGGGCAGCACAAGGCAGCAAUGCUGAGGUGGCGACCGGCGCACGGGUGCGUAACGCGUAUCCAACCUUCCCGUUACUCUUGGAUAGCCUUCCGAAAGGGAGAUUAAUACAAGAUGGUGUUGAAAUUCCGCAUGUUAUUUAAACUAAAGAUUUAUCGGUAACGGAUGGGGAUGGGUGACAUUAGAUAGUAGGCGGGGUAACGGCCCACCUAGUCUACGAUGUCUAGGGGAUCUGAGAGGAAGGUCCCCCACACUGGAACUGAGACACGGUCCAGACUCCUACGGGAGGCAGCAGUGAGGAAUAUUGGUCAAUGGCCGGAAGGCUGAACCAGCCAAGUAGCGUGAAGGAUGAAGGUUCUAUGGAUUGUAAACUUCUUUUAUACGGGAAUAAAACCUCCCACGUGUGGGAGCUUGUAUGUACCGUAUGAAUAAGCAUCGGCUAACUCCGUGCCAGCCGCCGCGGUAAGAC
rnacentral:rRNA from 1 species